ACAGAAAAAAAUUAUGAGACUUUGGCCUUGAAAGUCUCAUAGUGAGUGCCUGUCAUGUUAUAACAGGGCAAAAACUGGCUGCUCUCCUCUACAUUCGGUGGCCUUGGGAACACCAAAGAUGUGGCCUUGGCAACACUUGCACAUCGAGGUCAAGAGGCCAGGAAGAGCAUCCUGCCUUCUAACUCCUUUGAAGUUUACUCAAAAUUCUCAUCCUGAACUGGACUUUUGGACUCAACAACAAAAGGGAUGACGCUGUGUUUCAGAGGAAUUCAUAAGCAGAAUUGAAUUUGUUUUAGUUAACUCCUUAUUUGAUUGGAAUAUUGUCGACUUAACAAAAUAGUAGAAAGAGCAUUGGGCUGAAGUGAGAAGAUUUGAAUUCUAGUCCAAAAUCUGUUACUAACCAGCUCUU
rnacentral:lncRNA from 10 species